rnacentral:rRNA from 1 species
GUAGGGAAUAUUGGACAAUGGGCGAAAGCCUGAUCCAGCCAUGCCGCGUGUGUGAAGAAGGUCUUCGGAUUGUAAAGCACUUUAAGUUGGGAGGAAGGGCAGUAAGUUAAUACCUUGCUGUUUUGACGUUACCGACAGAAUAAGCACCGGCUAACUUCGUGCCAGCAGCCGCGGUAAUACGAAGGGUGCAAGCGUUAAUCGGAAUUACUGGGCGUAAAGCGCGCGUAGGUGGUUUUGUAAGUUGGAGGUGAAAUCCCCGGGCUCAACCUGGGAACUGCAUCCAAAACUGCAUGACUAGAGUACGGUAGAGGGUAGUGGAAUUUCCUGUGUAGCGGUGAAAUGCGUAGAUAUAGGAAGGAACACCAGUGGCGAAGGCGACUACCUGGACUGAUACUGACACUGAGGUGCGAAAGCGUGGGGAGCAAACAGGAUUAGAAACCCUUGUAGUCC